UAGGGCUUUCUACUUUUUUGA
rnacentral:piRNA from 1 species